CGGAACUACGCUUCCCCAUAAUUCUUUAGCAAUCGCAUUCUACUACCAACCGCGCCCUUCUUCGUCGAUUUAUGUGACGUGGAAACUCGUUCACCCUACCCCUUCUUCCUUCUCUUUCUCUCUCUCUUUCUCUUCUUCUCUAAAGUACAUAUACAUCCGGAAUUAAAAUGAAAGCAAGUACAACAACUACUAUCUACGAGCCCUACAAACUCCGAGUUACUGCAGCAAGGUAGUGGAAAUUUUGUGCAGCUUUUUGGUGAAAAAUAACCAGGGAUAUCGUACGGUCCUGUCUAAAGCCAAUAAAACUGGCUUCUACAUUUCACCGGACGACAUGCGAAAUUAGUCGUAACGGGUCAGCUCGAACCUAUCGGGUUCGACCCUCUAUAUAGUUAUACUAAUACCUUUGCACGAUAUCUAUGUAAAAAUAUGAAAAGAAUUUCAUGUAUUUAAUGAAUUUACAACGGUUCGACUAUCAUAUUUCAUCGUGUAUUUAAAUUAAUCUUAUUAUAACUACAAAUUAUGAAGUAAUUAGCACA
rnacentral:lncRNA from 1 species